UACGUAGGGUGCAAGCGUUUAAUCGGAAUACUGGGCGUAAAGCGUGCGCAGGCGGCUUUGCAAGACAGAUGUGAAAUCCCCGGGCUCACCUGGGAACUGCAUUUGUGACUGCAUGGCUAGAGUACGGUAGAGGGGGAUGGAAUUCCGCGUGUAGCAGUGAAAAUGCGUAGAUAUGCGAAGGAACACCGAUGGCGAAGGCAGCCUUCUGGGCUAAUAUUGACGCUCAGGCACGAAAGCGUGGGGAGCAAACAGG
rnacentral:rRNA from 1 species